rnacentral:lncRNA from 1 species
AAGAAUUUUGGUACAGAAUAAAAUAUAAAUAUUUAAAUUUUUAUGAUCUAAAUUAUUAAUCUAUAAUAUUUGAACUAUAAAUUCUUAAGAUGCAGCAAAAGCACAAAAACAAUCAAAUUCUCUAAUACACUAAUGAUGAAUUUUCAUAAAUUUGAAUUAUUGAUAUAUAUCCUUUUCGUAUAAAUUAAAAAUUAUUUUUUGUAUAAAAAUAAUGAAGAUUACGAUAAAUUGAAAAUUAUGUCAAUUUUUUUCGAAUCUAUUCGUUAGCUUCUUUAAGAUAUUGAUUGAUCCAUGCACCAACUUAACCAUCUCAAAAUCUUUCAUCACUACUUUAAUAUCAUUAAGAGUGCCUUUCCACCUUUUGUCUUUGCUUGUUCAUACAUAUACAAAAGAAUCAAAUAGAGAAGAAAGAGUAACAAUUAAAGGUUAAAAUUUUAAAAAUUCUGUAUUAUACUCUGAUGGAGUCUAAAGAGCGAGAGGAAACAGAAAACGGGUAGAGCGAUAGUUGACUACCAAAAGGUGGAGUAGCCAAUAAUCAAGAAGGUGACACAGAUGUUGUCAUGGAAGUUGUAUUGGUCCCAGACAGGCCUAGGUCCUGGAAAGACCGCCUCAUUGCUACAGGCCUGCGAAUCGACGAUAAAACAGAAACAUCAACUAAAGAAGAGGACGACGAUGACUUACAUUUACUUGAUGAAGAUAUUGUGAGAUCGUCGGUAAACGGCAUACUGGCAAUUGACUUCUCUGAUCGGGUUAAUCAAUUACUCAUAAAAGACAUGAAACAUACGGUGGUUAUAAAACUCUUAGGAAGGAACAUUGGAUACGCAACUCUACUAAAUAAGAUUCAUUCUCUAUGGCGACCGAAUCAACCGUUCUGAUUAAUGGAUAUUGAAAAUGGUUACUACCUGGCUAAGUUCCAAAACCCUGGAGAUUUUGAGAGAGUAUUAAGUCAGGGGCCCUAGAUAGUCUAUGGACAGUACCUAACUGUUCAACCUUGGAGCAUUGAAUUCAGCCCUUUGCAACCCUACUCGAAUAUGGUCAUGGCUUGGAUACGGUUACCAAGACUGCCUGGACAUAUGUACGAAAGGAAAAUACUAUGGGAAAUAGGAGGAAUGAUAGGAAGGGUUGCAAAAUUGGACUUUAAUUUUGAUAAUGGAGUUCGGGGAAAAUUUGUAAGAAUGGAGAUUUACUUCAAUCUUGGAAAGGCCCUUAUAUCUCAAGUUCUAAUCAACGGAGUAUUGUAGAGAAUCGAAUACGAAUAUCUUCCCACGGUAUGCUUUUCCUGCAGCCAUUAUGGACACAGGAUAUUUGCCCAAAAUCGACAACUGAACAACAAGUGCUAAAAGAAAGCAUCACUAAAAAAGAAAGAAUUCAGGGAACCAUACCUGAACUAGGGAAAAGCAAUUUCACAACUAGCUCCGACACCUAUGGUCCAUGGAUGCUCGUUGAAAAAUGAGAUCGGCGAUGGUCAAAAGAGAGGAAGACCAUUAACGGAGCAGCCAGAGAGAAGACGCAAGAAAAUAUACGGUUUUAACUUCUAGAAACCCUAAAUGAUAAAAUGGGUCUGCAUGAGAGUAGGCCCACUAAGGAAACCAACCUGACCCAAAAGGAGUUAGGGUUUGUGGUGGAACAAAUAGCUGCAAAAAAAGGAACCUCCCCCACAAGCCAAUUUCAACAAAGACCUGGUAAGGAGAUUAUAACUCCCCCAGGCUUAAGCAAACAGAAUCAGACCAGAAAGAAAUUGCACAACGCACUCUCUAAAGGAGACCAGAAUGGGCUUAACCUAGAGAAACAAGGCCAAUUAGGCCCGAUGCAACUUGAACUUAGAACAAGUAAGGAAAAAGAAACAAAUGACCACGUUCGGGAAGAAACACAAACAGUGUUUACCUCGUCAUAACGGUAAUCAAAAGGAGAACCGGUGACGGACGCGACGGAGGUCAAAGCACAUAGUGUGAUGCAAGGGAGACAAAUCGUAGGGGAAACCCAUGGCACACAACCAACAGCAAAAUUGGAGCCACACCCUAGCCAUCGUUUCAAUGCCAAAAGUCUGCUGGAGGUUUCGAUAACCCCAUCUAAUGGAGUAUUAGAUUCAACCAAACAUUCAGUAAUGUUUCAAGAAUCUGGUACCCUCGGGGAAAAACAAGAGGAGCAUUUAACACAUAAAAAUGCUAUGGGGUGACGAAAGAAUACCUUUACCGUGCGCACCAGUGGGGGAAAAUUGAAUGGAAACACGAAGGGCCAAAAACUCAAAAGAACUAUUCGAGAUAAAGGAAGCCCCUUCAAAGUCACAUCUCUCAAAGUCCCAUUGGUAGAAUCGAUUACUAACAUGGUAUAACUAUUGCAAGAACAAGUUAAGCAAGGUUUUUUCAACAAAGCAAAUGAGGAAGGAGCCGGGUGUGAAGACAGCAAGGACGCCACACGGUAGCAAAACUAGAUUGGGUAUGAUCUUUCGAAUCUUUCAUAAUGAAUUCUAAUUUUAAUUUAUCACUUUUCGUUUGGAAUUGUUAAGGAUGCAUAAGUGCUAAAUUGUCACGCAUCUUUAGAGAGUAUAAUAUAGAUUUUAGACCAGACAUUGUAAGCCUUCUAGAACCAAAUGUGAGUGGUAGCAACGCGGAUGAAAUAAUUGCUAAAUUAGGA